rnacentral:rRNA from 1 species
GAUGAACGCUGGCGGCGUGCUUAACACAUGCAAGUCGAACGGAAAGGCCCAAGCUUGCUUGGGUACUCGAGUGGCGAACGGGUGCGUAACACGUGGGUGAUCUGCCCUACACUUCGGGAUAAGCCUGGGUAACUGGGUCUAAUACCGGAUAGGACCACACUUUGGAUUGUGUGGUGGAAAGCUUUUCGGUGUGGGAUGAGGUCGCGGCCUAUAAGCUUUUUGGUGGGGUAAUGGCCUACCAAGGCGUCGACGGGGAGCCGGCCUGAGAGGGUGUAGGGCCACAUUGGAAUGGAGAGAGAGCCCAGAGUCGGACGGGAGGGAGAAGGGGGGAAUAUUGGACAAUGGGAGCAAGCGUGAGGCAGCGAGGCCGCGGGGGGGAUGACGGCUUUCGGGGGGAAAGCACCUUUCGCGAGGGACGAAGCGUUUUUGUGACGGUACCUGGAGAAGAAGCACCGGCUAACUACGUG